CUCCAAUCGAGAUUAUGAGUGGGCUUUAAAAAUGGCAGACCUUAACGACUGAUUUCUUCUGCAAGUGUAACGUGAUGGCAAAAUUGAAUGACACUGUAGAAACGUCCAUAACGAAGUCUGAGAAAUUGAAGGAGAAAAUUUAUGCUACAGUAUUUUUAAGCACUGUUGCAAGUAUUUCUGCUCUCGCUGGAUUUACCAGGGCAGUGGCGGCAACCAGAAAGCAAGAUCCAAAACAUUUUGGAGAUGGAAUUUCUGGUAUGAAAGGAAUUCCUGAAACUGGAGCCUCAUUAGCUAUAAGAGCCCUUGGCUGGGGUACAUUAUAUGCUGUCACAGGAUGUGGUUUAUUUUUUUAUGGAAUUUGGAAACUCUCUGGUGCUACUAACACAGAGGAAUUUAGAUUCAAGAUGGGUUCUCUAUUACCAAAAAUACCUAAGAAUGACCCACCUCAAAGCAGAACAAAGUUCGAGGGUUUGACAGAUCUAUUGACAUAUAUUUCUGAAGAUUGGGGACGAAAUAAGGAGGAAUAAAUGUAUACAUGAUCUUGUUCUGGAACCGUAUUGGUCAUAGUUGACACGCUUAUAGCAGUAUUCGAAUUGCUUAAUCAGGAUCGUAUGAUUGGGAAUCGUAAGAUUGAGUCAUGCACGGGUUUACUGCAUGCAUGAAUAGUAACGCAAAUAGCAAUAAAAAGAUCAUAUGAAACAAGUUUCAUGAAAUUGUAAAUUAAACUGCUGAAAGUGAAUCAUAAUAUCUUACAAAAAUGAUAUAUACGAUCACGCCAUCAACACAAGAUAAAUCACGUUAAAAGAACGUGAAACUUGAUGUAUUUGUGCAGAAAGCAAUGAAAAGUACAAAGAUAUAUAAUACCAAACAACCUGAACGAAAAGGCCAGCAUGGACCAUCUGACUUGUAAUCCAUACAGUAGAUAGAUGUUAAACUAUAUUUUCUCACAAUUGACUAUUUAUUAAUUGACGAAUUUACGUCUACUAUAUAAUUAAAUGACGUUAAAUUACAAGCGAUUAGAAAAUGUUUCCAUAUAAUAAUUGCAGAAAUUUUAAUUUAUGAAAAGAACAUGAAUAGAUCCUGGAUGUAUGGCUACGUCGACCAGCGGCGUGAGAAAAAACAGAAAAAAGAAUGGAG